AGUGGAUUCCUGCACUGCAUCACAACAUGCAACACAGCGUAAUAGCUCCUUACAACGGGAUUUGGGCGUUGCAAAAAGCAGGUGUGUGGCGAUGGCUGAGCGGUUAAAGAUGCUGAGUUUGUCAGCUGGAUAUGGGGUGAGUUCUUGUCCUUUGCUCCAGCUCCUGCCCAUCUAGCAGUUUGAAAGCAUGCAAAUGCAAGUAGAUGAAUAGGUACCACUUCAGGGAAGGUAAUAACAUUCUGGGCUCUUUUGAUGUAUAGCCAUGCUGGCUACAUGAACACAGAAAAUGUCUUCGGACAAUGCUGAUUCCCUUGGCCAAGAAACGGAGAUGACUGGACAGAGAAACCUAUACCUAUACCAUUGGAUUUCACCACUGAGCAAAACGUCUUCAAAGAAAAAAACCAUAAAUCCAGUUGCCUCUUCUAAAUGCACCUUUGGGACAACCAGAACAAGUUAUAAUAUCUCAUAUUCCAUGUGGGGAGAAAGAAUCAUCAAAAGCAGCAUCUCCUUCAGCAAGACUCCUGCGUUAACAGAUUAACAGAGUUGGAAGGGACUUGUAGGCCAUAUAGUCCAAACCCACCACCCCACAAGCAGGAGACCCUACACCAUUUCUGACAGAUGGCAGACCAGUCUCUUCUUGAAAGCCUCCAGUGAUGAAGCUUCCACAACUUCUGAAGGCAACUUCUGUUCCACGGGUUGAUUGCUCUCACUGUCAGAAAGUUCCUCUUCUUAUUUCCAGGUUGAAUCUCUCCUGGUUCAGUUUCCAUCCAUUGUUCCUUGUCUGGC